GAGUUCACAGUACAGUAACGUACUUUCCUGGAACUGUCCUUUCCAGGACUGAAACAGAGAGUAGGUAAAAGUCUUCAAAGUGCUCCGACUCCGACUACUUUGGCACCUAGAUAUCAUUCACAGAAGAAAUUCACAGCACUACCACAAAGAGGAUGAAAUCUCCUCACUAAAACACAAA